UCCUUCCCAUCCCUCCCAUUUCGUAUCCAUCGAGCAGAUCUGAGACAAGUUAUUAGGAGGGUAGCAAACGAUUUUCUGAGCAUAAUCUGCAUCGGAUGUUGCCUCUUACUAGUUCCAAUCUAGCACGAGGGAUCAACGGGAAUGAGGCCUAAUUUUUCUCCCUCAGAUCCCGUCUUACUUCCCCACCUCAGAAUUGGCGUGCUAUUCAUCAGUGGUGAUGUUCAUUUUGGAGAAAUCGCUUGUUUUGAUUGUGGUGCUCAAUAUCCAUUGUAUGAUAUUACCUCAAGUGGUCUUACCCAAUCCGUCGAGAAUUCUGUUCCAGCAGUAUUUCAGUCUGUUAUGAGAAAUCGCUCCUUUUUUUUCCUUCCAAAAGCUGCAGUUUAAUGCUAAAACUUCACCAUGAUGUAGUUUUUCACCUCUAGAUCAAUGGAAGGAUCUAAAUUAUGUUCACUAGAUGUAAUUUUUGGCCCUGUUUGCUUGGCUGGCCAGGGGGUGAGAUGGCAUCUGCAGUCAGUCAAUCUUCAGUUGGUGGUACUGCAAGCAAUUCUGCACUCUUUGGUCUAUACAUUUAUGGCUGGCUGGCUGAGAUUUGGAUUUGGAGGCUGGGAUGCAUUUAACAUUUAAGAAAGUUGAAGAUGCUAUCCAUAGAGGCAUAACUGUUCCUAAUCAAGGAAGUCAAAUACCCUGGAGAAACUUUACCGAGUUUGGAUGGAACAAAUGAGUGAUGAGAAGUUAGAGCACUUUAUUUUGUGGAUUUGUUUUAUGAAUUUUGCUGGAUGUAUUCACAUGUGUCCGGAUGUAUAAUUGCAGAGCUAAUAAACAAUAUAUAGACUGGAUGGAUGGGUUACGUCAA